AUUGAACGCUGGCGGCAGGCCUAACACAUGCAAGUCGAACGAGCGGCGGACGGGUGAGUAAUGUAUGGGGACUGCCCGAUAGAGGGGGAUAACUAAUGGAAACGGUGGCUAAUAACGCAUACUAUCGGAUAACCCAUAUGGGAUUAGCUGGUGGGUGGGGUAAAGGCUCACCUAGGCGACGAUCUCUAGCUGGUCUGAGAGGAUGAUCAGCCACACUGGGACUGAGACACGGCCCAGACUCCUACGGGGGCAGCAUUGGGGAAUAUUGCACAAUGGGUGCAAGCCUGCUGCAGCCAUGCCGCGUGUAUGAAGAAGGCCUUAGGGUUGUAAAGUACUUUCAGCGGGGAGGCGUUACCCGCAGAAUAAGCACCGGCUAACUCCGUGCCAGCAGCCGCGGUAAUAC
rnacentral:rRNA from 1 species